GCUCCAGUAUUCUUGCCUGGAAAAUCCCAUGGAUAGAGAAGCCUGGUGGAUACAGUGCAUGAGGUCAUAAAGAGUCAGUCACGACUGAGCAGCUGAGCACAUACAUAUUUACAAAACACUUUUUUGAGUUCCAAUUAUAUACCAGCUGUUAAGUUCUUUCCUGCUUUUUCUCUCUUCUUAAUUUACAGUUUGGAAUCUGAACUGAUUGAUCCUUAAGGGGAAGUUAUUUUUUACUUAUAUUUACCCUGCCUAAAUUGUUCAGGAAACUGGAGUUUCUUGAUUAAAAUUCUGAUUCUCAUUCUUGAUUAAACCCAUUCUUUGGUCCUGCAGCAUUGACAGGAUAAAUGAUUAAUGUGAUUAGUCUGCAGGCACCUCUUCUGCUAGGAUCACCUGGACAUGUGACAUGCAUGGCCAUUCUGGCCUCAGUUUCCUUAUCUGUAAAGUGAGGGUAUUAGACUCAUUGGCUGCUUUGGCUCCCUUCUUCACAUUUUGAAUGGUCUUAAAAUACAUGUUUCUCCCUCCGCCUGUAGGAAUUAGUACUACUUUCCUGCUGUCAUUGGAAUGUGCACCCUAAUUUUUUUUCCAGAGUAGGGGUAAAUUUAUGCUGCUUGAGCUAUAAUCCUCACCCAGGGUACUGUUGAAGCAGGGUGGAAAUAUUCAACCCAUGAAAGGAUGUUGACAGUGCAAAGGUCUAAGCUGAUGAGCCAUGAUGUUUUCAUCAGUAUUCACAGCAUGCAGGAGUAAAGAAGAACUUUCCAGGAGUUUCACAGAAGACUACCUCUCAUCAUUGGCCAGAAAUGCUAUUGUGGGCCCAUUUCUAAACCAACUCUGACAAGAGAAAUUAACAUAAUUGGACUUUGAUCUCAGGACCCUUUUUGUAUUUUUAGAACCUGAAGACUCCAAAGAGUUAUAUGUGGGCUCCAUCUACUGAUAUUUGUCAUAUUAGAAAUUAAAUCUGAGAAUUAAAAAAGCUCAUUAAAAAUUAUAAUAAACUAUUACAUAUAAACAUUUUUAUGGAAAGUAACUUUUUCAAAGCAAAA